UCGAGGAUCUUUAGCAAUGGGCGAAAGCCUGACUAUGCGACGCCGCGUGGACGAUGAAGGCCUUCGGGUCGUAAAGUCCUGUCAGGGGGGAUGAAAUCUUCAGGUGUAAUAUAUCUGAAGUUUGACAGUACUCCCAGAGGAAGCCACGGCUAACUCCGUGCCAGCAGCCGCGGUAAUACGGAGGUGGCGAGCGUUACUCGGAUUUAUUGGGUGUAAAGGGUAUGUAGGCGGGCUUGUAAGUCAGGCGUGAAAUCCCUUGGCUCAACCAAGGAAUGGCGCUUGAAACUGCUUGUCUUGAGUGCGAGAGAGGAGAACGGAAUUCCCGGUGUAAGGGUGAAAUCUGUAGAGAUCGGGAGGAACACCAGUGGCGAAAGCGGUUCUCUGGCUCGUAACUGACGCUGAAAUACGAAAGCUUGGGGAGCAAACAGG
rnacentral:rRNA from 1 species